AUUCCAGCUCCAAUAGCGUAUAUUAAAGUUGUUGCAGUUAAAACGCUCGUAGUCGGAUUUCGGGGCGGCUUCGUCGGUCUGCCGAUGGGUAUGCACUGACGCGGGCGUCCUUCCUUCCGGAGACGCGUCCUACUCUUAGCUGAGCGGGGCGUGGAGACGGAUCGUUUACUUUGAAAAAAUCAGAGUGUUUCAAGCAGGCAUCAUCGCUCUUGCAUGGAUUAGCAUGGGAUAAUGAAAUAGGACCUUGGUGCUAUUUUGUUGGUUUCGAGCACCGAAGUAAUGAUUAACAGGGACAGUCAGGGGCGCUCGUAUUCCAUAGUCAGAGGUGAAAUUCUUGGAUUUAUGGAAGACAAACUAAUGCGAAAGCAUCUACCAAGGAUGUUUUCAUUG
rnacentral:rRNA from 1 species